UCAGCACCUAGAUGCUAAGGCCACUAUUCAUUGUAACAGUGGUUCAGAUACAGAUGCGAACAGCAAAGGGGACCUUGUCUCCUUUGGAGGACUGUCUAUGCCCUUCAAAAUGAAUUUAGAGGUUUUAAAUAC
ensembl:snoRNA